rnacentral:rRNA from 1 species
UACGUAGGGGGCAAGCGUUAUCCGGAUUUACUGGGUGUAAAGGGUGCGUAGGUGGCCAAAUAAGUCAGAUGUGAAAGCCCGGGGCUCAACUCCGGGACUGCAUUUGAAACUGUAUGGCUAGAGUGCAGGAGAGGUAAGUGGAAUUCCUAGUGUAGCGGUGAAAUGCGUAGAUAUUAGGAGGAACACCAGUGGCGAAGGCGGCUUACUGGACUGUAACUGACACUGAGGCACGAAAGCGUGGGGAGCAAAC